CCUCACUUUUCUCAGCUUUUCUUUUUUUUUUUUUUUUUUUUUUCUUUUUUUAAGAAAAGGGUUCUAUUAUCUGUAAAAAUUAAACCUACCCACAAAUUAAUAUAUUAAAAAUUAAAUGGGGUUGUUCUUAUAUUUCCUUUUCUACAAAUAAUUAUUCAUUCAUAUUAUAAAAAAUUAGGGUUAGGGUUUAUAUGGGUUUCUAUUGGACUAACGACGGCGUUUUGAAAUUUAUAUCAGUCGUUGUUUGCCGAUGCAGCACCAUCAAGAUUCACAACCCUCUUCACUUCCAUCUUUAAUCUCAUAUUUUCCUUUUUUGGGUCUAAUUGUUAUAUAUAAUUAAAUUGUUAUAUAUGUAAUAAUUAACCCAAAAAAAUAAAAAAAAAAAGAUUGAAUGAGGUAAAAGGUUGCAACUUGUAAGGAUAUGAGAAUCUUGAUGAUGCUGCAGCGGCAAUAAAUGGCUUAUUAUUUAUAAAUUUGUCUAAGUAAUUAGACAAUCAAGUUGAUAAUUUUAUCAGUUAUAUAUUCCUAAUCUGUAGGUAAGCCCUCCCCCAUAAGCAUCUUAUUUAUUUAUUUAUUUAUUCUUAAUAAUUUUAUCUAAUCUUGAUUAUUUUUUCAAAGUCUUUUAUUUUAUUAUGAUCAUUUAUUUUUUUCUAUGUUUUUAUGUAUUUAAUGUAAUGUUUUAUACUCAAUACGUUGAUGCAAAUUUGAAUCGCUAUAUUAUCUCUUUUGAUAAAGGUAUAUAUAGCUCAUUCUUUUUUAUAAAUCUUAUACUUCAUAUAUGUUUCUAUAUAUUCAAUUUAAGGGGUGUUUUUUUUGUACUAGAUCAUUUAUUUUCAUUUGCAGACUAUUCUCGAGUUGAGGGUUUUGUUGACUGUAACGUUUUUAUUUCUUUCGAGUAGGAUGUGUAUGGUAUGUCGUCAUCACUCUGUUUAAACCCUAAUCGGGUUGAGAGUUUUAAUUGACCGCAACCUCCUCUUUUGAUUAGGGCCGGGUAUGUGUGAAAUAUCGUCAUCACUCUGUUCAAGCCCUGACGAUCAGAUUGAGGGUUUCAUUGAUUGCAACCUCUUUAUUUCUUUCGAUUAGGGUAUAUAUGGUAUGUGGUCAUUAAUCAGCUCAAACCCUGAUUAUAGUUUUUACGACGAAUGUACCAAGUAUAAUAAUGAUGUUGGAGCAUGAUAUAAACAUAAUUUAUAUAAAAUGGUAGUUGUUGAGUGAUAUAAUACUGUUGUUUAGUGAGUGGAUCUGGAGAUUACUGACUUAAUUUAUAUAGUGAAAGCUGAAAUUUUGUACUAAUUAGCCAUUACAAGUUGUAGAACGAAUUACAUAAUUAGAUGAUCUGUACUUUUGCAGGAAAAAAUUACUAUUAGUUUACAUGAUAUCAGAUCUUGUUGAUGACUGAAAUACUCCCUCCGUGCCAUUCCAUAAAUGAAAUACUUACUCGGAUGUAGCAAUUUCAACGUGACAAAGUAGUAUAAGUUUGUCUUUUCAGGUUUUUACCUGAUCCAUACCAUAGUCUUUCCCCUCUUUUUUUCUGCUUUAUUUGGUCCUUUAAUUUGGAUGUGUUUCUGUAAAUGUUUUUAUUUGGCAGGUGAAUAUUACAGUUUGCUGAUUUAAACUGAUUUGAUGUAUUUUCUGAAGUUACAGGUACAAUUUUUGAUGUGUUUUCUGAAGCUAAAGGUACAAUCUUUGAGGUCAUAUACUCUAUCAUUUUGUCACUCCAUGUUUUGUUUUAACACACCUAUGUUUAAAAAAGAUCUACUGUGUCUAAUGGCUUUAACAUUUCGAGUAUUGGCUUUAUUUGGAGUGUAUAAUGAUUUUGAAUUUUGUACUUAAAUGUUGUUCAUCAAGGUUCUUGCAUUUUAUAAGUAGGGAGAAUUUAGGUACCGGUAUAUUUUAAACUUUGACUUAUGUAAUUUGAAUAAAAAUUCUAAUAAUAUUAAAUUGUGUCUAUAAUAUACAUAAAUAGCAGUUGAAUUGGUUGAAUCCAUAUAGAAAUGAAUUUUGACCCACUAUAUAUUAGUAUAUAUCAAACUGAUCAUAUAUAUAUAUAUAUAUAUAUAUAUAUAUAUAUAUAUAGAUUUAGGAUCAAAUGAGAAAGGGUCUCAAAAUGAGAAAGGUGGGAAGGAAUUUCAUCCAUUCAGAUUAAAGAUUGGUGGUCAGGAUGAGUUUGAUCCUUGCACGCGGUUCAUGGCCUUUUAUAACCGUUUUUUUUUUUUUUUUUUCAGCAAACCGGUUUAACCUUGCACGCGGUUCACUUUUGUUUUUCUUCCUUCUCAUUAAAGAUCGUUUGUUUGCUGGUGUGUGAUUAUCUUCAAGGCUACUCUGUUCUUCGAAGCUUUUUAGAACAAUUGAAGGUUUUUCGAAGAGUAUAGCUUGGAAGAGAAAGGCGCUAUUGUUCUUCAAAAAAACCGAAUCAGCCUUUUUUUUUUUCUUGCCCUAUUUUUCUGGUUCAUUAUCCAGGCCAUUAGAUCUUUGAGAAAUCGACGGCUCAAAAUCCUUCUCACCCUUCUCAUUUUCAUACCCUUUCUCAUUGGAUCC